rnacentral:rRNA from 1 species
AUUGAACGCUGGCGGCGGGCUUAACACAUGCAAGUCGAGCGGGCGAGGUUGCUUCGGUAACUGAGCUAGCGGCGGACGGGUGAGUAAUGCUUAGGAAUCUGCCUAUUAGUGGGGGGCAACAUUCCGAAAGGAAUGCUAAUACCGCAUACGCCCUACGGGGGAAAGCAGGGGAUCUUCGGACCUUGCGCUAAUAGAUGAGCCUAAGUCAGAUUAGCUAGUUGGUGGGGUAAAGGCCUACCAAGGCGACGAUCUGUAGCGGGUCUGAGAGGAAGAUCCGCCACACUGGGAAUGGGACACGGCCCAGACUCCUACGGGAGGCAGCAGUGGGGAAUAUUGGACAAUGGGCGCAAGCCUGAUCCAGCCAUGCCGCGUGUGUGAAGAAGGCCUUUUGGUUGUAAAGCACUUUAAGCGAGGAGGAGGCUACCGAGAUUAAUACUCUUGGAUAGUGGACGUUACUCGCAGAAUAAGCACCGGCCAACUCUGUGCCAGCCGCCGCAGUAACAC